rnacentral:sRNA from 1 species
AAGAUUCAUUCGAAAGCUAAAAGUGCGGCGUCCUGCCGCAACGCUUUCAUGACUCGCAUCAUGCGGG